rnacentral:lncRNA from 13 species
GUUUAGCUCUUGAGAGGUCUCAUCUGUUUGCAGUCUGCCUCUCAUGCUCCUGUCGCUGCCAUGAAAACAACUUCCUCUGCCUUCAUCAUGGCCCCCUGACUGAGAACACAUGGAGAAGAGUCUCGUUAGCAAGCCCAACUAGCCCCACAGCCAUAGCAGACCUGCCCAGGCAAAUCCAGCUUACAUGAGCAGCCUCAACACACUUACAAGAGAAGUAGGAGUUUGCAACUGUCUAGGAAACAAAAAAUAAAAUCUGUCAGCAGAGGAACAGGCAUAUGCAAAAGCAUAGAAGCAGGAUGCUCAGUUAAAGAACUAGAAGAUAUUUGCUAUGACGUAAGUACAAGCUUUAGUUAAAUGAUGGCCAUUUUCCGCAUAAAAAAGUGAAAGUUAGACAAUUCGUUUCCUGAGAUCACAAUUCUCCUAGCCCAUGAUAGUUUAAACAAAGUUUGAGUAAAAUGAAACAUCUUAAUUCAACCAUCAAGUGGAAAGAUACAGUCAUAGCUCCAUUAAUGGUAUAGUGUGUUCAAUGCAGGUUGCCCAAAACCCAGAGCUCAGUGAGAGGCUUCAUCAUCUUGGAAGAAAAUAUACAUAAGUAAAGUCCUGUAGGCCUCCAGCCAGAGUAAUUAGCAGGCAAUAAUUUACAUUGUUGACAGAAGUCCAAUGCUAGCUCUUGCUCAUAGGCAAUAGAAUAAGAGCAGUAUCUGAGCACAGGUGUCUGGAGGUGUUAGCCUCUGGUUCUCCAGCUGAUUAAGAGAAAAAGAAAAUAUUGAAGUUAGAUUAAACUACAUAAAAAUUGCCAAUACAUGACCUUUUUUAAUCUACAAAAAUUGACCAUAUGAUAUCGUUUAAUAUUUGGUGAGUGCUUACCCAGGACAUGUCAGUGUCUUAAAGAUUUUAUGUACACUACCUAACUAAAUGAAAACUUACAAGCACCCCACAAGAUAAAUUUGUUUCUCCAACCUGCAGAGAGAUAACCAAAGAUCAAAGUGGUCCAAGAGAAAAGAG